UCACACCAUGGCCCCACUCACACCAUGUGAUUGAUCAUGAUCAGAUGAUUAAUUAAUAUAUUCAACUGUACCUUAUUUAGCUACACAAUAUAUCAAAUUAUUAGCAACAACUCUCUCUCCGAUGCAGUGCAAAUCUCCACCACUGCAAACCACCAUUGGCCCAACGUAUCACUCUACAUGAAUACCUCGCCGAGGUGAACAUUAUUAUGCUGCAUGACUAAGCAGCCAAACAGAACAGGUUAAACAAACAAAUAAAAAAUGAUUGUGCAGCUCUGCGAUUGGCUGGCAACCAGUUCAGGGUGUACCUCGCCUCCUGCCCGAUGACAGCAGAACUCUUUCAUCAUCAUUUACUGUCACACUUACAUAAAAUAAUAAGCGUGAAGAUUCCUUUUCAUAGCUGAAACUGUCUAGGGGUCUAACCAAUAUGAAGCGCAGUGAGUGCUGUGGGUUGAGCUCUGCUGUAAUGACGACAGCUCCAAGGAGAGCUGAGGAGCAGGAAGGUCGCAGCGAUUAUUGCAAGACAGCUGCUGGAGACACACUUGGCCAGUUGGGGGACACAGGAGGGCCCCAGACGGACCCUCAAGCGGACGAAGACUGGAACGACAGGAAACCAGCAAAUCUCAUGGCGCACUUUGUCGGUGGACGUGGGUGAGCUGGAGCCCAUCCCAAGUGACUUUGACCGAGAGGCGGGGUACGCCCUGCACUGCCUGCCGGCCGACCAGGGCGCAUACAGUACAGACAAAUUAUUGCAUUCACAUUCCCAAUUACACAUAAGGACAAUUUAUAGUCUUUGUUAUGUUAGAAGUUGAAUAAAUUCAUUUCCGCUCAAAAUUUGACACACAACAACCCAUAAUGACAACAUGUACAAGUUCUAUCAUAAAAAAAAAAAAAAAAACACAAUAAAAAUAGUACCACUUAUUUUAUCUCGCUAAAGAUAAUAAUAAUAAUCAUUAUUAUUAUUGUUGUUGUUUUUUCUGUUGCUUUAAUACUUCAUUUUCCUUUCAAAUGUAAGACUGAAUUGUAUUUGCAAGCUGGACUUUGGGUGAAACACGCAGAACUUCCUACAUUGGAGUUUGGAGUUUUUUGGGGGGCUUAUUGUUGGUAAUUAAUUGAUGGGAAGUUAUAUUGGGAAGACAGUGCUACAUACACCAUGAAGGAAAGGGGCGGGAUGGAACACAACAGGGCAGUACGGCGGUCGUGAGCCAAGCAGUUUUACUGCUGUGUGGUUGGAAUGGCUAUGCAGUGCCAAUCACCCAUGUAAAAAAUUGGAGCGCAAAUGAUAAAACAUUCCAAGAAGUAAAGGGACAUUUCAAUGUACAUGUACUGUACUGACGUGCACCUGGACAGAAAAUAAAAGUAGUUAUUCUAUUCUA